rnacentral:rRNA from 1 species
GACAGAGGUCCCGAGCGUUAGGCGGAAUCACUGGGCUUAAAGCGUGUGUAGGCGGAUUUGUAAGUACCUUGUGAAAUCCCACGGCUCAACCGUGGAACUGCUUGGUAUACUGCUUAUCUUGGGCCAUCUAGGGGCUACCGGAACAAGUGGUGGAGCGGUGAAAUGCGUAGAUAUCACUUGGAACGCCAAUGGUGAAAACAGGUAGCUGGGGGAUGUGCCGACGCUGAGACACGAAAGCCAGGGGAGCGAACGGG